rnacentral:rRNA from 1 species
AUUGAACGCUGGCGGCAUGCCUUACACAUGCAAGUCGAACGGCAGCACGGGAGCAAUCCUGGUGGCGAGUGGCGAACGGGUGAGUAAUAUAUCGGAACGUGCCCAGUCGUGGGGGAUAACGUAGCGAAAGCUACGCUAAUACCGCAUACGAUCUAUGGAUGAAAGCGGGGGAUCGCAAGACCUCGCGCGAUUGGAGCGGCCGAUAUCAGAUUAGGUAGUUGGUGAGGUAAAGGCUCACCAAGCCGACGAUCUGUAGCUGGUCUGAGAGGACGACCAGCCACACUGGGACUGAGACACGGCCCAGACUCCUACGGGAGGCAGCAGUGGGGAAUUUUUGGACAAUGGGCGCAAGCCUGAUCCAGCAAUGCCGCGUGCAGGAUGAAGGCCUCGGUUGUAA